rnacentral:misc_RNA from 1 species
GAUGAAGAACGUAGCGAAAUGCGAUAAGUAGUGUGAAUUGCAGAAUUCAGUGAAUCAUCGAAUCUUUGAACGCACAUUGCGCCCCUUGGUAUUCCAUGGGGCAUGCCUGUUCGAGCGUCAUUUGUACCUUCAAGCUUUGCUUGGUGUUGGGUGUUUGUCUCGCCUUUGCGUGUAGACUCGCCUUAAAAUAAUUGUCAGCCGGCGUAUUGAUUUCGGAGCGCAGUACAUCUCGCGCUUUGCACUCAUAACGACAGCGUCCAAAAGUACAUUUUACACUCUUGACCUCGGAUCAGGUAGGGAUACCCGCUGAACUUAAGCAAAUCAAUAAGCGGAGGA